rnacentral:rRNA from 1 species
UACGGAGGGUGCAAACGUUGCUCGGAAUCAUUGGGCGUAAAGCGCACGUAGGCGGCUCGUUAAGUCGGGUGUGAAAGCCCUGGGCUCAACCCAGGAAGUGCAUUCGAAACUGGCGAGCUUGAAUAUGGAAGAGGGUCGCGGAAUUCCCGGUGUAGAGGUGAAAUUCGUAGAUAUCGGGAGGAACACCAGUGGCGAAGGCGGCGACCUGGGCCAAUAUUGACGCUGAGGCUGCGAAAGCGUGGGGAGCAAACAGG